UGGCGUGUCGUCAGCUCCGUGUCGUGAGAUGUUGGGUUAAGUCCCGUAACGAGCGCAACCCUUGUCCUUAGUUACCAGCACGUUAUGGUGGGCACUCUAAGGAGACUGCCGGUGACAAACCGGAGGAAGGUGGGGAUGACGUCAAGUCAUCGUGGCCCUUACGGCCUGGGCUACACACGUGCUACAAUGGUCGGUACAAAGGGUUGCCAAGCCGCGAGGUGGAGCUAAUCCCAUAAAACCGAUCGUAGUCCGGAUCGCAGUCUGCAACUCGACUGCGUGAAGUCGGAAUCGCUAGUAAUCGUGAAUCAGAAUGUCACGGUGAAUACGUUCCCGGGCCUU
rnacentral:rRNA from 1 species